AUUGAACGCUGGCGGCGUGCUUUACACAUGCAAGUCGAACGGCAGCAUGUCCUUCGGGAUGAUGGCGAGUGGCGGACGGGUGAGUAAGACAUCGAAACGUACCUUUUAGAGAGGGAUAACUCAUCGAAAGAUGAGCUAAUACCGCAUAAACUCUGAGGAGCAAAGGUGGGGACUGAAAGGCCUACCGCUAAAAGAGCGGUCGAUGGCCGAUUAGCUAGUUGGUGAGGUAAAAGCUUACCAAGGCGAAGAUCGGUAGCUGUUCUGAGAGGAAGAUCAGCCACACUGGGACUGAGAGACGGCCCAGACUCCUACGGGAGGCAGCAGUGGGGAAUAUUGGACAAUGGGGGCAACCCUGAUCCAGCAACGCCGCGUGAAUGAAGAAGGCCUUAGGGUUGUAAAGUUCUUUAGUUGGGGAGCAAAAGUUGUGGGGUAAUAUAUCACAAACUUGAGAGUACCUGAAGAAUAAGCACCGGCUAACUACGUGCCAGCAGCCGCAGUAAUAC
rnacentral:rRNA from 1 species